CAAGUUUUCUCUUCUUCUUCCUCUUCUUUCUCUUCUUUCUCUUCUUUCUCUCCCUUCUCUCCCUCUUCUUUAUAAAAAUCAGGAGGAGG
rnacentral:ribozyme from 13 species